rnacentral:lncRNA from 1 species
GGCUCCGUCCCGGCGCUCCCAGUUCCCCCCCGCCUCUUCUUCGCCCCUCCCGUCUUUUCCGUCCCAGCCUGAUGGAGCACAUGAGGUUAAAGCUUCGGUCCAGACGUUUUAAGAAAUGUCCCAGGAUCCGUGGAAGUUGUUGAGGAAAAGCAGAGUCUCUGGCAUCCCCAUCCAACGCUCCCGAACCGGAGAUAGCAUGUGGCUGAGGGGUCGUGGUGGGCGGGCUGAAAGGGCAAGGUUAACUCCCUAGAGUCCCCCUGCUCAGCGUGGAAGCCCAGGCAGGGCUGCACAGGCGAGGAUUUCGCAUCCCGGGCAGGCUUCGCGGUGGGAGGAACAUCGCACAUCGCCAUGGCAAUUCUUCCCGUGGGAAUAAGGAACUUCUGAAUGUGGAGCAAAUUGGAAAGGGACCUUCCAAGCGCCAGCUGGGGCUCCAGGCAGGCCGCAUCUAGCACUGUUUCUGGUUCCACCGUCUUGAAACUUUCUUCUCUUGGCCUCCGUAACAUCACACCCUCUGAUGGUUCUUCUGUCCAAGGAGCUUUUGCCUUUCAUCUCCUAAACAUAGUUCUCCCUCAAGACUCCAUCCUUCAGAGCAGCAUGAAGCAGUGGAAAGAAUGCAGGCUUUGGAGCCAGAGUGACUGUAUUUGCUUCUGGGCUGCAUCAUUUAUUAGCUGGGAGACCUCUCUGAGUCUCAGUGUUCUCAACUGUGAAAGGCGAUGAUCUUAAGUGUGUUAGGCUGCAUUUUGUAUUGCUAUAAAGAAAUACCUGACCCUGAGUAGGUUAUAAAGGAAAGAGGUUUAAUUGAGUCACAGUUCUGCGGACAGUACAAGCAGUGUGGUGCUGGCAUCUACUUCUGGAGAGGGCCUCAGGAAGUUUACAAUCAUGGUGGAAGGCCAGUGGGAAGCAGAAAUGUCACAUGAUGAGGGGAAGCAAGAGGUCAGGUGGUGUCACACCCUUGGAAAUAACCAGAUCUCAUAUGAACUCCCUUAUCACCAAGGGGAUAGUGUUAAGCCAUUCAUGAGGAGUCU